rnacentral:rRNA from 1 species
UAACGCGAAGAACCUUACCAGGUCUUGACAUCUUCUGCUAACCUAAGAGAUUAGGCGUUCCCUUCGGGGACGGAAUGACAGGUGGUGCAUGGUUGUCGUCAGUUCGUGUCGUGAGAUGUUGGGUUAAGUCCCGCAACGAGCGCAACCCUUAUUGUCAGUUGCCAGCAUUCAGUUGGGCACUCUGGCGAGACUGCCGGUGACAAACCGGAGGAAGGUGGGGAUGACGUCAAAUCAUCAUGCCCCUUAUGACCUGGGCUACACACGUGCUACAAUGGACGGUACAACGAGUCGCGAAACCGCGAGGUCAAGCUAAUCUCUUAAAGCCGUUCUCAGUUCGGAUUGUAGGCUGCAACUCGCCUACAUGAAGUUGGAAUCGCUAGUAAUCGUGGAUCAGC